GACGAACGCUGGCGGCGUGCUUAACACAUGCAAGUCGAACGGAAAGGCCCUGCUUUUGUGGGGUGCUCGAGUGGCGAACGGGUGAGUAACACGUGAGUAACCUGCCCUUGACUUUGGGAUAACUUCAGGAAACUGGGGCUAAUACCGGAUAGGAGCUCCUGCUGCAUGGUGGGGGUUGGAAAGUUUCGGCGGUUGGGGAUGGACUCGCGGCUUAUCAGCUUGUUGGUGGGGUAGUGGCUUACCAAGGCUUUGACGGGUAGCCGGCCUGAGAGGGUGACCGGCCCAGUGGGGUAGGGGAUACGGCCCAAGCGCCUCCGGGAGGAAGGAGGGGGGAAUAUGGCACAAGGGGGGGAAGACUGAAGAAGGAACGCCGGGUGCGGGGUGCCGGCCUUAGGGUUGUAAACCGCUUUCGCCUGUGACGAAGCGGGGGUGACGGAAAUGGGUAAAGAAGCACCGGCAAACUACGG
rnacentral:rRNA from 1 species